UGCCACUAUUAUUUGUAAACGAGGAUGUUGUCGAAGUUGCUGUUGGUGCACCCAUGCCCAUUCCCGACAUAUCCGUCGUCAUAGUCGAUGUUACGCUGAAGUUGUUGCUGUAUGCGACGUUGUUGGACUUAUGUCCGUCACAGUACCGUAAUAAUUGUUCCGCUGGUGUGACGUUAACGUGCGUGCAAUUGCCGUUGUGAUGGAGGAGGCAGGUGUGGUGAUUGAAUUUGAGGUGGAAUAAAAGUUGUGGAUGCAGUUGCUGCCUACUGUUGAGGCGACGGCAUUGCCACUGCCACCAGGACUGUUCGUGUUCGUCGCAGCAGCGUCGUACCAUGACGACGGCAGUGCACGGUUAUAAUUGUUGAUGGUGGCACCGUUCGAACUUCUGCAACAUAAAUAAGGUCCAUUUUUGUACAAACGAUCACGUGUUCUAUUACGAUUAUCUAAGGUGCCACUGGCACUAAUACCGGGACCACCAGAAGUUACAGUGCCUACAGAGGAUAUAUCCUGUAUAGACGCCGUUGGACUUGACGUUGCCAAGCUGUUUGACGUUUGAUAACCACCGUUGCUUCCAAUAGAAGGGCGGUUUGAACGACGCAAAUAGGUGUCGUUUUCUGCAGCUAUUCGGGAACUGCGUUCAUAUAAGCCACUGUUCCGUUCUGUGAAAUUUGGAGUUGGAACGUCUUCAGUAGACCUAGAAUAUUACAAAAGGAGAAAACCGCUUGUAAUUUAGUACCUCAUCAUUUGUUGGCAAUAGCAAUUACAACAUAAAUAAUUCUUAAACCAACAACAAACAAUUCAUAUAGUAUUUAUUAUAAACGGUGACUACUGUACCACUAUAUCCUAUAUUAUUGAUCCUAUUACCUUUGUUUCUUCUUCAUCAUCUAUGUUGAAUUGCAAAGAGGUUCAGAGAGGCCGGCCAUUCAGUGAUUAAAUAUUAUUGUGUAUUUUUCCAAUAAUUAUCAAGUAAUUAAUAUUAGUUUAUGCAUUUAAACUGGAUAUGGUCUAUUCCGUUACGAGAAAAAACAAUACAAUAACAAUAGUUAGCGAAAUUAUUCUAAACACCAUACAACUGGGGAUUCUCUUUUCACACAAAAUGUCAAAAUCAUUAUUAUUUAUUCAUAAAUACUCAAUAUAUAAAUCUCACAAAAAUUUGCAAAAAAAAAAUGUUCUCCCUAAUUACGAAUAUAAAUAUGUAAAUAAGUACAAAAGAUUUAUGUUCGAAAACCAGUGUAGCCAAAUUUUCAAUCUCAAAACAUUGCAUCGAACUAAAGGCCAACCUUUUCUUUUCGUCAAAAGAAUCCCACUCAAAGAAGCGUUUUAAUUUAGCAAAAAUAAAACACAAACAUAAAAUUUCGUUUAAAUUACUCUCAGUGAUUUAUUAGUGAUUAAUACAACAAAUACUUACAACAUAAUACUUUCACGCAAGAUAAUGCAUUUAUUGAAGGAAGUCGCAAAUGAUUACGAACUUAUGUAGCUUUUAAAAGUAUUUUUUGUUAACAAUUUGAAUUUUUAUUAGUGAAGUAAAGCCAAAUAUUUAAUGAAUUUUUCUCAAUCCAUGGUGAAUGUUGUGAGCCGGAGUAUUAAGCACACUAAAAUGAAUACAACUCUUAAAGUAAUACACCAUGAAGUCAGAAGUAUAUUGCUCUAUAAGCUAUAUCUUCGAAUUGAUUUCAACAGUUUAACUUUUCGAUAUUCCAAAACAGUGUUGUCAUUAUUUAUUAGUAAGUAAGUAUAUUUUGUAUCGUCUGAUAAGUUAAGAAAAUUGUUACAGACAAUAAAAUAAAUUUAAAAAAUAAACUAAAAAUUUGUAAUGUAGUAAACUGUGUGUAAUUUCUUUUAGAAAUAUGUCCGUCCAUUACCAUUAGAAGUGCAAAAAUAUGCAAAAACAAGUUAGGAUGCGCUAAGUUCGCGUGUAACCGAACAUUUUAUGCUCUUGCAACUUGCAAGGAACAAAGGCGGAGGAACACCUUCAGGUUUUGGCAAAACUUAAUAUCAAAGUAAGGAAAGUAUCGCCGUGAUUUCUUUCAUUCAAGGAAAGAGGAUACACUAGAAAAGUAUUAGAUGAGGUAUUGAAGGCUCCCACCACUCACACAUCGCCUUUCACAGGGCAGACUCUAAAAAAAUUUAUAAAUCUUAUAUUAAUUAAUGGGCUUUACGUAUGUCGAAUUAUUGCCAACAGAAAUACAUGCAUACAUACGGACCUUUAUUAGCACGACCCACAUGUGAAGCAGGGAUCUGACGUACAUAUUAUAUUACUGUAUAAUCAAGUAAUAUGUACAAACAUAUUCCAUUCUCCUAAUAUGUAGUAUACUCGUAUGUAUGUACGUAAAUUUUACAUUGUGUUAUUUGAGAACUUUCAAUAAAAAUUGUACUAACACAGUAUUUAGCAUGAAUUCUUUUCUACCACACAUGAAAUAGCCAAUAUAUAUGUACGGACGUAUAUAAAUGUGUAUGGGCAAUAAAUACAUGCCGUACGUGUCUGACUAAGGCUUGAAUUCAUUACACAACCGGCGACCACACUUUGCUGAGCGUAAUUUGAGACUUUCGAAAGGUGUUGCGCAUACCGAGCAAGCACUUUCCAAUGAAUACGUGGAUAAGGGAACAGUCAACGCUAGUUCAAGAACAAAGAGUCUAUGGAAAAUCGCAUUGUUAGCGACAUAAUGAUAUAGUGUACGAAAUAAGCUAAGCUGUCAGCAUGAUGGUUUUAUAAACUAUUAUUUAUAUUUAAUAAAUACUUGUAUAUAUUCAAGGUAAAAUUCGAUCUUAAAAUAACGGUUUACCAAUAAUAACCAGGCGUUCUCCUGGCCUAGCCUAAAAAGUUCAUUUGAUUCAUUGCGAAACAUUUGCUGCUCGCUACAAAAUAAUGUUAGGCAAAUUUUUCAAAAAUAAGUAUUUAAUAAAAUUAAAUCAACUGUUUUGCAACAAAAUUGACCACACUGCUAAGAUAGAGCAAAAAGUAUGUUCACAGUAAAAUGUUGUAACGAAGUUUCAACUAACGAAUUACCAGAUUAACAUGUUCGGUUUUCGGCAAAUCUCAAGAUCCCGCAACUUCGUAAACUUUGUACUCAUACAACAAAGUAUUUUCUCGAGUUCCUGUAGGCAAACAUCAAAUUAUACAUGACACAUCAGAAUUUUACGAACUUCAGGCCGGUUAAUCUCAAUUUUAAUUGAUAUAAUUAUAGUUUAUAAAGAAGUUUUCUGUGUGCACUUUUAAGUUUUAUACAGCUCUUCCUUUUUUAAAUCGAAACUUGUGGUUUUGGCUCACAACUGAAAUAUUGUAUAUAUUCUUAGUACAUUUCGCCACAGAAUAUUUUCGUUCACCUCGAUGAUCGGCUGUGGAGUUUGGUUUGCGUUUCAGACAAAGUCACGAGUUAGUUUAUGACUAGUUGCCUCCAUUGCAGGGUAUCUCAUAACAAAUUUAUCUCUCAAAUAUUGUAUAAGUAUAAAAGUGUAUUAGUAACCAAUGGAAAUAAUACAGUUUUUCUCUAAAUGUACUUGCUAAUGUUUAUAUAAGUAAGAAAAUUUCAAAUAUGCCAGGAAUUGGCAGAAAUUUGUUAAAGUCGGUAUGUAUGUAAAGUAUGAUCUAUUUUCCAUUCAACUUUUUGUGAUUUAAUACCCGAAAAUACUAAGCUACCACAAUUUUUAAACAUUAUGUUAACAAAGAAAUAAUUGUACAUAUGUCAAAAAUACAUUUUAACUUAUGUACAUAAUAUAGUAACAAAGUGUGUGUUGCGACUUUUAAAAACGUUUGACCAAAUAAAACUUAAUUUUUCCGCAUAAGCACCAACCAAUAUGAAAAAGGAAAGCUUUUAACUUUAAAUCAUUUGAACAAAUUGUAUUUUGUAUGAGUACAUAUACAUACAUAUAUCAUACAAACAUAUCUCCGGUAUGCCGAUUUCAAAUUGUAGCAAAAACUUAGUACAUAUGUACAUAUAUUAUAUUAAUCACACUCGUAUAUUUGCCUAUUUAUGUAAACAUUCGUAUACCUACGUCUGCAUAAAAAAUCAAAAUUAGAAAAAAUUUAAUACAGACACGGCUUAAAAUUGUGACAGCGGGCAUGCAAUGGAAGUGGGCUCGAGUUGCGACUGCCGGGAGAGCAGCUCGACGCGUCCGAAUACAUCAGUGGUGUGCAGUGAAUAGCUCGGAAAUGGUGAAAAGAAAUUUGCUCACAUGUCUACGGAGGCACACACAAGCUCGCAGUCAACUCGCGUUCGCCGCUUAUAUAUGAAUGUACGUAUGUAUGUAUAUGUACAUACAUACAUGUAUUUAUUUUUGUUCAUCUAUAUGUAAGUAUGUAUGUACUUAUUUAUAUAAGUGGCUUUUCAUUCGCCGUGUUAUUCCAUUCCAUGUCUGGCGUAUGCCCAUUAUUACUCACAUAUAUACUUAAACGUAUGUAUCUACAAGUAUGUGUAUAUAGUUGAAAUUUGUACUAUUUAUCAAUUUUCGCAUGAGCGUGUUGGUGUUAGUGAGUACGGUACGUACAUCUGUUUUGCUCCGCCGCAUGACUCAUUUUCCAUUACGGCACCACACUAUCCAAUAAACAAUCUGGCUUUUUUUUAUGUUUUGCCGUUCCCUCGCCGCUACUGACUCGGCUGAUUGCUCGACUGAGCGACGAGCGCGUUUCUUCAUUCGUUUUGCUCAAAUUGUAAUUAAAUUAAUUUCUUACUGUAAUAACUACGUACAUAAAUACAUAUGUACACAUGUAUAAAUUUAUUCACCGCAGCACAACUUUAGUUCUUGGCUAAAUACGAAAGUAAUUGUACAUAUGUAUUUACUUAUUUGCUUUCAUGCAUAUGUAUGUAGUCAUACCCAUAUGCGAUUUUUUUUGGUAUUAGUAAAUAAACGUAUGUGUGUAAAAGACCGCUGAUUUUAAUCCAAUGGAGCUCUAAGGUUCCUCUUACGUUCAAAAAUAUGUGUUGUUUGUGGUAUAUUUUAUAUUAUUUAAUAUUCUAAAUAAAUAUAAAACUUGGUACUCUCAAUAAUUAAAAAAAAAAUGUGUGGGCUGUAUGCGAUAAGUUGUGGUGUAAGUUUAAUUAAUAGAAUAUGGCAUCGGCCUUUCUGAGAGAAUGAAGCAUGGGAAUCGCUUCGGGAUAUUGGGAAAUAAUGUAAAGGUCGCAUCAUAAAGGUCUGUUAAAAAUUCUUUAAAGCGAAAACCUAGAAAGGAAACUCGUGGAUGGCCACAUAAAAUUUGUAAAAAGGACUAAUGUAAGUGCUUAAACAGUUCGCAGGCGCUAGCACAAAGAAAGCUACCAAGACGAAUAACCAGAAAUUUGCGUUAAUGCGAUCAAGAAAUUUAAAUAUGAACUUUGCAAGAAGUCAUAUUAAUUGGUCAGGAACUAAGGAAUUAAAAUACGAUGAAACGAAAAUAAAUUUGUUUGGAAACGAUUCUAAGAGAAAUGUGCGUCGCCCAGAAGGAAAGGAGUUUUACGUUCGAUUCACAAAAAAACUGUAAAGCAUGGCGGUGGAAAGGUCAUGGUUUCGGUAUUUUUUUCUUGGGAUAGGGUAGUCCUAUAUACCGGACAACUAAGAAAAUGACAGCGGCGGAGUACAAGGAUAUACUUGAAGAUGUCUUGCUACCCUGUGCUGAAGAAAACUUAUCAUUGCGUUGGAUUUAUCAGCAAAAUAACGGCCUAAAACAUACCUCAAAACUGAUUAUAAAAUAUUUUGAAGUCAAUAAUGUUCAUGUUUUAGAGUGUCCAAGUCAAUCCCCGAAUUUAAAUCCAAUGGAAAACCUAUGCAGAGAAUUAAAAAUAAAUGGCGAAUCAAUCUUUCUCAAACUCACAAAGACCAGUUAUGGGAGUACAUCCAAAAAACUUGGUAUGCGAUACCUAAAUAAAUCUAACCGACUCUAAUUAGUAGUACGCCCAAAGGAAUUAGUAAAGUAAUCCAGAAUAAUGGAGGAUAUACCGUCUAUUAACAAAGCAAUGUUAAAUAUACAACAAAACCUUUAUGACAUAAUUUGUUUUUCCAUAAUAAUUGUCCUAUUAAAAGUGUACCUAUUUUUUUGAGCAAGUUGAUUUUAGCUAUAUAACGUUUUUGGAUCUACAUUUGUUUUUUUGUUUUGCUUUAUUUAAAAAUUAGUUUUAUUAAAUUUUACUUGUAAAUAUUUGAAAAAUAACAGUACGUUUGUGUUUUUCUUAAAAAUUUAAAUAAAACUUAUUAUACAUGUGCUUUACUUGCAAAAGUAUUUUGUAACUAUUAUUUUGAGCAGGUGUGUAUGUGCAUCUGUGGAUGAGGUCCGCAUAAAUAUUAUAUGUAUGUAUAUAAGAUCAAAACAACUUCUUGCAAGAUAUUUGCCGCUUUCGGGAAAUCGCCAACACAAAAUGUCGGUUGUUAAAGAAAAUAAGCCAUGAAGGCGCAAGCAAACACAUACAUACAUAAUACAUGCAGGCAUAUACCGGUAAGGUAAAGAAAAAAUUUGUUUUGAAAAAAAUUGUUUACCAAACGAGUAUCAGUCAGAUACCUACUUGUCGAAAUAUAAUGAAACUACUAACGAAAUAGCUACAGCAGAGAACGGCAAUAACAUGAACAGCGGCAGCAGAGGCAACAACAAGCAAUUGCCGUGAAUUGUGUAUGCUAAAGCAGAAAUGAAAAAUAAAUAGUAUCUGCGAAAUAACUCGAAAUCGAGAAAAACAAAACGGCGACGGUGAAAACCUACACGAAAACACAAACGAAAACUAACACAUUCACGGCCGAACAGUCUACAAAAAUGGUAAACACGCACACAGCUGCGAUGCGAAUAGAUAGAUGGACGAACGAACGGACGGACGGACGACAGACGGUCGCUAGGGCCGAUAAACAGACGUUCGGUGGAGGGCAGCAGACAGGCAGACAACCGAACCAUGACGUGUAGAAAUAACCUGAAACGCAGCUAAAAUUACUACAAACAAACAAAGAGGCGAGCAAAUCGUAGCUGCUUCUUUGUAUCUCGCAGUUACGCGCAGGCAUAACACAUCAGUGCAGACAACGACAGCAGGCAGAAAGCAACCGACAGCCCGCCACAGAAACUGUGAGAGCUAGAGCUAAAGACUGAGCUGCUUUGGCAGCAGCAAAUCGCAAAUGGAUUUAUAUAAAACAACAUUGUCGAAGUUGCGAUGUUGCCACAUUUCACACAGCGCAUUAUUGUGGAUGCGCACCAACCACCGCUACUACCACCUUUGAUUUCAUAUUACCUACGAAUGCGAACACACGCACGAGAUACUUAUUCGUUUUCGCCCGAAUUGUACUUUGGCACACAAGCGUUCGUGCGUAGCUGCUGCCUCGCUGAGUAACGUGCACUCUUCGCCUGUUCCGAUUCCAACAACAUUUGACGACAAUAUUACCUACUCGACGAACGUGUUGGUGUGUGUGUGCUUGUAUUUGUUGUUUUAUGUUUGUUUUUAUUUCUUGGCUGGCGGUUUGGUUGGUUGCUUGGUGAAUCGCUUGGUUGCUGUCGGCUUCAUUUGGAAAUGUGACUGUAGUCACCAAAGUGAAAAGACUGGCUGACAACAAAACAAAAAUUAAAAAGCAACAACAUCUUACCGCCAAGUUAGUGGCAGUCGAUAGUCACAGCGGCAACGUCGCCGGCCGUUUCUUUUCUACUUCUCAACUGCGUUGUUUUCGUUAUUCAUGUGACGCAGUCACACGAACACACACACCCAUAUGGACAUAAACAUUUGCUUGCAGCUUGGAUAGAUUCGUUUAUGCACAAAACGACUUCAACCAUAUGAAAGACUGAAGAAGUUCAGAGGAAGCGAAAAGAGGCCCACAUCAGGCGAGGAGUUUAUACUGGAAAACAGAAACAGGGUUUUAUAUUAAAAGCUGAAAAAGCAGCAUCGUGUGAGACGUCAGUUCCCACUCAAUCGGUUCUUCAGAACAACUAGCUAGGCGGUUCUUCACCACGAAUAGAUACAUAUGCAUGUGCAUAAGUACGUAUAUGAAUGUGUGAGUAUGAGUUUGUACAGGAAGUCCAACUUCUAGCAAUACCGCUUUGGCUUUGUAUUGGCUCCUGCAGCAGUGAACUCUCAACAGCAAACAUUCAUGGUUACACAAACAUAUUUAUGGUACAACUAUGUGAUAUCUAAAUAAGCAUAAAUGCAGCCAUAUAUGUAUGUACAUACAUACAGACUUUUAUGUCAAACAAAUUUUAUGAAUAUGCACGUAUUUAUGUAUAUUUUCUUUAACGUCUUGUCAGCUGCCUUAUACUCCUGACUCUCGACCGCUUCUGUUUGUGUUCUCUUACGGAAAGCAACUGUCUUGUGGCCGUUCGCUCUGAUGGCUAUGAUGUCGAUGAAUAUUACACAUAGAAUAGGGUGAAAUUGGUGUUCGGAAUUUAUUUGAAUGAAUGAACGCCUGUUUUUGGAAUUGUUUUUGAUAACAAAUGGCUUCGUCACCACUUUGUCCUUACUGUGCUGUCACUCCUCGAUAUGUAUGUAGUACAUACUCCUUAAUAUGUAUGUAAGCACAUCUAAAUUUUAUUGUCUGAAAAGGAAAUAUAAUCUUAAGUAGAGCUCCCAGUUCGAAUACAAUGUUAUAGUGAAACCGUUAACACUUGUUCCGUCCAGAGUCCGGAAAAUAACCGAAGGCCAUAUUAUUUAAUGCAUUGUAAAGACAUGUAUCUAAGGGAUUAAUGUUUGUAGUUGAUAUUUUACAAAAUAUACGGACCAUUUAACGAAAAUCUCCAAAAUCCAAUAAAUUAUCGGUCAUAAACUUCCUACUUCACUUCCUCAACCCUUUUCUAGCUCCUGAUUAUGCGACAUCACUACUAGUAUAAUAUCACAUUCGAGGGAUUAAAAUACAUUCCGCCAGAAAUUUAUAUUUAUAACUACUGAUCCUUUCUAAGCGUAAUACUACAUUAAUUUCUAAACUUACCGUUUUAAGUGUUCUCUGCUUUUUGUAUCCUCACGUAAUCUCGCUUCGGGUAUUUGACCAAAACAAAUUUUUCGGGUUUCUUCACGUACCAUUUUGUUUAUAAAACUUCAUGGAGGCGACUUGUUUUAAGAGGGGCGCGCUCCACCCCAUUCACUUUGGAGGACGACUGAAUAUUCUUUAUCGUUAAAAUAUUUUUCCGAAAAGCCGUCGAUAGAAUGCGAAUAUUCUGGGUUUAAUGUAUUAUAAGCACUUACACAUGCACAUUUACUGUAAGAAAAAGAAAUACAAUUUGUUAUAUAAUUUUUUUUUUUUAUUGUCCAUUAAGUGUCAAUCUUGUAAGAUUCGGUAAGUAUUGUAUACAAACAUAUGGAAUUUACUAUUAUAAAUAUUAUUAUGUAAAAGAAAGCUAAUUUCAAAAUGUUUGUGAAAAUUUUUAUGAAUUAAUUUGUUAAAACUUAUUCCAGAAAAAUUGUAACCUAAAAGGGAUCUCCUGCAGAUAAAUAAAUGUAAAAUAACACCACUUUUUUAACCUCAAAAAUGAGCUCCUUUAAUUCAAUGUAUGUGGGCACACAUGAAACCAAAUCUGACGAAUAAUUGAGUCGCCUGAGACAUGUUUCACCACCACAAUGUCUAUAAUUCGAAAUGACCAUUUUCGAAUUAAAUCCCUAUUUUUGAGGUUACCAUCAUUAACAGAGGAAUUUCAUAUGUAUAAUGUAAUAGUUUGUAAUAGGUUCAAAAAUUGGUUCUGUGGUAAAAUUGAUUAUGAAAAUAAUGUGUAAAUGAUAUAAGUACUUUGGAUGGUGUUGAUAUUGAGUAGAAAAUUCUUGAAAUUUUAAAAUACAUACAAGAACUUCCAACAUAUUUUUAUUCAGAAAAUAUCUUGCUGAGAAUUAGGGAAUAUGGAAUCACAUUUUAUUUCACGUAGAUUGAACAAUAUACACCAAAAAUGUCUGACUUCUUUAAUUAACAUUUUAAAAAUGUAAGCAACGAUCUCAAAAUAUGUGAAUGCAAGCGCUGCUAAUAUGCAAUAUGAAUUGUUUUUGUUACUUUAUAUUAUUCCUUUUAUAACAAUGAUCUCUAAAUAUACGAGAUAAAUAGAGAUAUAAAUAUAAGUGUAUUUUCUGGUUUUUGUUCCUUAUAUUUUUUUCGUUUAAAGUUAAAAAUAUUAUUUAAAUAUCAUUACUAAAAUGUUAAUAAAUACUUAAAGUACAAAUCUGAAUUUUUUUAAUUGAUUUGGUUGUCCAAUUAAUCGGCAUUCCUGUAAUGGAACGAAUUGCUCCAUUAAAUGAGUAUCGGUUAAUUGAUUCCCCGGUUAAUUGAACAAAAAAUUGUGCAAUUUUUGAAAAACAAUUAUCCGGAGGAUACUGUAACUCAUGAUUUUUAAUAGCCACCUAUAGAAAUAUGAGGAGCUGGUAGCAGCAUACCAUAAAUAUAUUAUAUAUAUGUAUGUAAAUACAUAUGUACACAGAUACAUAUUAUAAAACCUAUGAAGUGUACAAUAUAGCCAGUGAGAGCAUAUGAGCACAUAACAUGAUAUGAUGUACAGUUGUUCACACAAUUGAGUGUACACUUUUUUUCUCAAAAAAAUACGGAUAUAUUAACAAUUUAGCAUUGUAACCAAUUUUUUACAGAAACUAAUGUAAAGUAGUUAAACUGUUUUACGAUGCUUGGUCUGGUCUAUCGUAAUUUUGUUACUCGAAUACGUUAAAGAUAUGUACAUUUGUAAACAUGCAAUUUUCGCAAAUAUUCAACGCACAAAAUUGAGUAGACAAAUUUCUGAUUGAUUUCGCUACAUUAUUUUGUGUCUUAUCCCGAAAAAAAAUGUAUUUUUUCAAUAAAUAGGACUAAGCGGUUAGAAUUCGGUUAAGUCCAUGGUAACAAACCGUUAAAAUCUGGAAAAGAGUAUAGUUAAAUAAAGCACCCAAAGUUGUAAGUGGAACUAUAAAAUUUAGUGAAAAUAUAUGUAUAAGGAAGUCUAUAUACAUGGACAUUUUGUGUAGAAAUUUACAGUAGAAUGACUACCAUGUUUAUGCUUACAAAUGAUCGGUUAAGUAAGUAAGGGUGGACGUAUCAACUCGGGUGCAUAAACAACUUUAAAGUUUAAUUGAACGUCAAAUCAGCUUAUUUCCUAUGCCGGUGUAUAUUGUUGUGAUAAAUUGCCUGUAAAACUUUGCUUUUUUGUUUAUUGAUUUGAUAAAUUGUUUAAGAAAUUUAAUAUAAAUAUUUUAUUAAUCAGCAUUCGCUACCUGUUUUCACGUAUUUAAAGAAAAUUAUAAACAAUUCCAUUUGUGUUUUCAUUCAGAAGACAUUAAACAGCUGAUUUGUAUUUAAGGUAAUUAAAACGUAUUGCUAAUUUUUUUGUCAAAAAUACAAUUAUUUACCAAAAAUGCUACAAAAUGCAAAUAGACAAUGAUCCAAGCACACUGUACAUGUAGUUCGGCACUGGCUGCUCUCAAACAACGUAAAACACCACCGUAAUCUCCAGAUAUGAACCCAAUAGCGAAUUUGUGGGCAUAAGUCAAACUAAAGCUAUAAUACAUUCAUCUAGGAAGCAGAGAUAACUUAAAACGUGAAAUAAGUAAGAUUUGUAGGAAAUGUGACCUGUUUAGAACCACAAAUUAAUAAAAUAUAUGCCACGACGGAUGAAAGCAUAAUAGAUGUAGGAACUGGAUCAACAUACUAUUAGUUUAUAAAGUUUAUUACUUUAUUAUUUUUUUUAAUAUUUAACUGAAAUGUACACUCAAUUUCGUUAUAUGAAUUUUCCUAUGUUUAAUAACGAAUAAUAAUUAAUAAAAAAUUGAUAUAAAAAAUAUAACUUUCAAAAGUACUUGGAGACCUUGUUAAUUAAUAGAUGUACGUAAAUAAAAUAUUGAUAGACUUGGACAGGAGUUGAAAUUAAGGUUUUCCUUCAAUAAUAAUUUCUAUACGCUCAAUUCUGUGAGCAACUGUUUGUACAUAUAUACAUAUGUAUGAACAUAAGUAUACAGUCAUACUUACACAUUUAUUUAUG